rnacentral:lncRNA from 1 species
CUAUCAUUGGGAUUUGAUGGCCUCCCCCUACGUAGGGAAAAAAGAAAAUUUCCACCGAAGGGUUUAAGGUCUUCAUGUUGAAAUGGAGGAGCAAAUAAGGUUAGGGAGGUGUGAGUUAUUAAAUCUCACCUUCUACUAUUUAUUUACAUGGAAAAGGUUUCAUGAAUCUUUCUCAAUUUUUCUACCCUUAUUUAAUAUUUAAUGAAAGAUAUUAUUUUUGUAGUGUUUUAGGUAAUUCAUUUUAAAUUAUUUUACAUUUUAAGUAAAAGUAUUAUUUUAUAAGUGUAGGAUAGGGAUUGAAUGAAAAUGGUUGAUUUUGUGCAGACGGAAAAGCUUGGAGAAAAACGUCAUGAGUGACAUAUACCAAAGAAUGUGCCAAGAUUAUUUGAGUGGUGGUGUUCGUCCGAAGUUUCCAAUCGCUGUUAUUGGAUAGAAUUGUCAAACACGUGUGGAAGUAAAGCACAAUGUAUAGACUGUCAUCAUAAUUUUCUUCAUACUUGAAUGACACCUUUUCUAGAAGCUCAGAUACAAUACGGAUUAUUCUUUGUUGGGUAUUCUUUAUGAAGGGGUGAGUGAGAUAAAUUAUCAAAG